GAACAUUAAACUGGGCUCACUGAUCCUUUCAUAACAGCACAACGGAGCUUCUCUCCAACACUGGGUCAACUGGAUCAACGGGUUUUCCUCAAUAACGCAGCCGUCUUUACAAACACUGACUCCCAUCUCUGCAGGACCUGUACACCUCCAGGACACUGGGGCGUGCAGUUCGGAUCUCAGCUGACCCUUCUCAACCUGGACACAGUCUGUUUGACCUGCUCCCCUCAGGCAGGAGGCUCCGGUCCAUUCGCACCAGAACCUCUCCCCAUAAGAACAGUUUCUUCCCCUCUGCUGUUGGAAACAUGAACAAUAACCAUAUGACUGUUCCCACCCCUAACACAUGACCCUACGCUGUGUUCACUGCUUCAUUCCAUGUUUGCACUGAUCACCACCUGCACUCAUGUAUAUAUCUAUCUACUUAGCACUUUUAAUUUUUAUUUUUAUGUCUAUUUAAGCGUUAUCUGACAGUAUGUUUGCACUAAGCACCGCAGCAAUUUCCUAAUGCUGUAAACCUGCUCAACAUUUGGCAAUAAAACCCUUUCUGAUUCUGAUUAUACAGAAAU
ensembl:lncRNA